GACGAACGCUUGCGGCAUGCCCGAGAAAUGCAAGUCGAACGGAGUGAGAGAGCAAUCUUUCACUUAGUGGCGAACGGUCGAGUAACGCGUAAGCAAUCUGCCCAGAAGCGGGGGAUAAGCCACCGAAAGGUGGGGUAAUACCGCAUACCUUCACUUAAUGAUGUUUGUGAAGAAAGAUUAUCACUUCUGGAGGAGCUUGCGUCCUAUCAGCUAGUCGGUGGGGUAACGGCCUACCGAGGCGACGACGGGUAGCGGGUCUGAGAGGACGAUCCGCCGGACUGGGACUGAGACACGGCCCAGACUCCUACGGGGGGCAGCAAUCAGGGGAUCUUGCACAAUGAGACGAAAGCUAGAUGCAGCGAUGCCGCGUGGAUGA
rnacentral:rRNA from 1 species